GACGAACGCUGGCGGCGUGCUUAACACAUGCAAGUCGAACGGAAAGGCCCUGCUUUUGUGGGGUGCUCGAGUGGCGAACGGGUGAGUAACACGUGAGUAACCUGCCCUGGACUUUGGGAUAACUUCAGGAAACUGGGGCUAAUACCGGAUAGGAGCUCCUGCUGCAUGGUGGGGGUUGGAAAGUUUCGGCGGUUGGGGAUGGACUCGCGGCUUAUCAGCUUGUUGGUGGGGUAGUGGCUUACCAAGGCUUUGACGGGUAGCCGGCCUGGGAGGGUGACCGGCGACAUUGGGACUGAGAUACGGACCAGAGUCCUACGGGAGGCAGCAGUGGGGAAUAUUGCCCAAUGGGCGGAAGCCUGAUGCAGCAACGCCGCGUGCGGGAUGACGGCCUUCGGGUUGUAAACCGCUUUCGCCUGUGACGAAGCGUGAGUGACGGUAAUGGGUAAAGAAGCACCGGCUAACUACGUG
rnacentral:rRNA from 1 species